rnacentral:snRNA from 1 species
GUGUUCGCUUCAGCAGCACAUACACUAAAAUUGGAACGAUACAGAGAUUAGCAUGCCCCCUGUGCAAGGACGACAUGCAAAUUUGUGAAGCGUUCCAUAAAAAA